CCUGGCGCUACACCCACAAAGCCAUCUGGAAUUCAGGGAGAACUCCCUCUCCAUCUCCCCUCGUGUCUCUUCUCCCUCCAUGUUGGCUUCACCCUUCUCCUUCUGCAGAUGGGCUCUCUCCACUGCCCUGGUGCCUGUGACAAAAGCUUGCUGCUCACAGAGCUCACCCGCAGGUUCGUACGCAACAGUCCGAGCAUUGCCCGGACGGGCUUCCAUCUUUCAGUCCUAAUUCCAAACUCCUGGGAGGAAGAAUCCAGCCCAGCUUGGGCUAAGGUCUGCUGUGGUCUGUGACACAGGGAGCAACGUCCAGGAAACGUGCGUCAUGGAGCAUUAGUGGGGAUUGCCACAGGGUUGACUCCUCUUCUCUAUCAAGUUCAAUUUAAUGUCACCCGUCCAAGGCGCCAGCCCUGAGCCCUCUUUCUAAACUGGACGUGUCUUACUUCAUUGAAUCUUCACAAGAACCCAAUAGGAUCAGUGCGGCUUUUGCCCCCAUUUUACAGAUAAAGAAACUGAAG